rnacentral:rRNA from 1 species
ACCUGCGGAGGGAUCAUUACCGAGUUUACAACUCCCAAACCCCAUGUGAACAUACCUGUUUCGUUCCCUCGGCGGUGUCCGGCAACGGCCCGCCAGAGGACCCAACAAACUCUUUUGAAUUUUUCAGUAUCUUCUGAGUAAAACAAACAAUAAAUCAAAACUUUCAACAACGGAUCUCUUGGUUCUGGCAUCGAUGAAGAACGCAGCGAAAUGCGAUAAGUAAUGUGAAUUGCAGAAUUCAGUGAAUCAUCGAAUCUUUGAACGCACAUUGCGCCCGCCAGUAUUCUGGCGGGCAUGCCUGUUCGAGCGUCAUUUCAACCCUCAAGCUCUGCUUGGUGUUGGGGAUCGGCAAGGCGUCCUCCGGGUCGCGCCGUCCCCCAAAUAUAGUGGCGGUCUCGCUGUAGCUUCCUCUGCGUAGUAAUACACCUCGCUCUGGAGUCUCGGUGCGGCCACGCCGUAAAACCCCCAACUUUUUUCUGGUUGACCUCGAAUCAGGUAGGACUACCCGCUGAACUUAAGCAUAUCAAUAAGCGGAGG